rnacentral:lncRNA from 10 species
AAGCUUACUCUUCUUUUAAAUCACAAACAAUGACCAUUUUUCAGGUUGUGUAUUGACUUUUUCGUUUGCUGAUCAUUGCAGGCAAAUUAUGAUGAAGUGUACGCUUUCCUCUUAAGGUCCCAGGAGACUUUCCUCCCCCCACACAUUGUGGACAUUGCUUCUUUUAUAAGCAGGUUCUAAAAAAUAAGUGCAGGAGGAACUCAGUUGGCUGACUCAAUGCUUUGCAUUAUAUGGUCACUCCUUAUAGGUUUCUGAUCUCUUGUUGCUUAGCAACAUCUACACAGAUAUAAUUUCCAUCCGGUAGUGAAAUCAAGUACUUUUGGCCUCUGUCAACAUCAAGAUUAGCUGAUCUCUAGAGACCCCACACAGCCAAGGACACUUGUUGCUAUUUUAAGAGAGAAGAGGCUCUCUUCUUCUUGCAUGCCUCUUCUCUUUUUUGUUUAUCAAUUGCUGCGUAACAGAGUGCCCUAAAAAAACUCCUUAUACAGUCUGUAGUUUGCCAAGGCUCGGCUGGAUGGCUAUGACAUUUGAUCCUUCAUGAAACUGCAGUAAGAUGGCAGCAGGAGCUAGAGUCUUCUCAAAGCCAGACUAGGCUGGACAUCCAAGAUGGCUUCUUCCCUCAAGUGACUGGUGCCUGAGCUGGGAUGGCUGGAGCAGCUGGAGACUGGGCAGACAUCUCCCUUGCCACAUGGCUAGGUUGGGCUUCACAGCAUUGGCUUGCAGGAGGCAGGGUGUGUGAAAGAGGCAGUGGGAGUGAUCCACUCAUGGGAAGGGAUAUGUUAUCGCUGAGCCUUGUUUAGAAUUGCUUGUGCAUGCUGAUAAGAAAAGGAAGACCAACUUUUAGUUGGUUUUAGUAAACUUUUUAAAUUCUUUAUAGACAAUGCAUCCCUUUAAUCUCUGUACUUUUAAGUGGACCAUUCCCACUGCCCCCAGCCUUGGUACACCACUUCCUCACAGCAUGGCUGUUUCCAGAGAGUUGGACUUUUUGCCUCAUGACUAGCCUCCCCCAGAGCCUUCCAGGAAGAAAGGCAAAAUCUGUGAGCCUUCUUAUGACCUAGCCUCAGAAGCCACAGAGCAUUGCAUCCCCUGCACUCUGUGGGGGCAAAAGCAAGUUGGAGGACCAUCCUGGAUUCAUGGGGAGAAGACCAAACAAGUGUGAGUGCUGGAAAGGAGACUUCCCUGUGGGCCAGCUUUGGAGAUGAGUGACCACAUUCUCCAUUACCAUUUGCUCCACGUGGUUCAGAACCACAUGAUUAUUUAACCAAAGCUCGGGUUGACUACACUUCAACUAACUGGAACCUACUGUAACGAUCUUCAGGAAAAGUUCUCUACAUAUAACCAAUUUAUCUAUGUUAGUGGUACAUUGAGGAGGUGUCCAGAGACAAAGAGACAAGACAGCAAAUGAAUGGACAAGAUGCUGUGAGGGAGUAGGAUUCAGAAGAAUGUCCCAGAGCACAACACAGCCUGGAAUUCACAGAAAUACUGGGGAAAAGGCACAGUGGACUUCCCACUUUCCGUGGAUGGGGUCUCGACCCAUUUUAAGAGGCUAUUAAAGGAAAAAUUGACUGCAGGAGGCAGGUCAACUUGGAAACAUGGGAUAUAUUUUUUUAAAUUUUAGGCAUGGAGAUAUGGAAGGAUGCAUAGAGGCCUGGUAUAUAACUAAGAGCAGGGACUCUGGAGUCCGAGGGUCUGUGUUGGAAUCCCAACUUUGCCACUUAUAACCAUGUACUUUUGCGCAAGUUAUUAAAGCCUCUGAGACUCCAUUUCCUUCUCUGUAAAUAGGGAAAUAAUAAUACCUCAUAGGGUUGUCAAGAGGAGUAAAUGAAGCACAAUUGUAAAGUGGAUGGACAGGAGCUUAGUGUAUACAAAUUGCUGUACAAUAGCUUGUUAAAUAAUAUAAAUAAAUAUGCAUCAAAAUGUUAAGUGUUUUUUGAUGAAUAUAA